UUUCUUCUGGAAUUUCUCAUAAGUACAUUCAAUCCGUAGGUUGUAUUUUAAAAGAAAUGCCACUGAAACUCUGAACAACUUAGUAACAUUGACAGGACUCGUCACCUACACAUCAACGUCAUGUACAUUUGCAAUGGUUUCCUGUCUGCCUUGAUUUAGGAGUCCUGCUAAAAAUAAAGUUCUCUCUCUCUCUGUCUGUCUCUUUCUAUUUCUCUCUCUCUCUCUCUCCUCCACCCUUUCUCUCUUACACCCUCCCUUGCUCCCUCCAUCCCUCCUCCCCCUCUCUCCUUCCCUCCCUCUUUCCUAAGGGCUUUAUCCAGCAAGUUUCCACUGAAGGUGUAAAUCUGCAAAAGCAGCAUGUGGUAGGUCACACAAUGUACAAAUUAUUGGAGAGCAAAUGGAAUUAUGACUCUACAGUGUUUUCAUUAAUGGCAUUUUCUCAGGAAUAAAGGUGUGAAAGAACUGGUCCUUCUUUGCAACUUAACUGAAAUAGAACUAAGAAAACUAGAACUCACACGAUUGAAUAGGCAUUAUUUGUCUGUCACUGCCUGGGUGCUCUGAACAGUGAGACUGGCAAGAGAAGGACCCUGCCCCCAACUGCAGCCCAGGAAGCCAAGAGCACCAAAAGAGCAGUGGCAUUUGGAGCCCUGAAAGAAGCAAGAAAACAUUAUGAAAUAAAUGUUAAGGAACUGCAUUUCAGUGCAUGAAAGUGUUUGGUUUCAGCACCACAUCAAACAGGGGGAGAGUUCCCUCCACCAAUGUUCCAGUUCAGACACAUUUAGAGAUAGCAUUCUGCUCCUGCCUCUCAAAAGUCCCUACAUUCUUUUAGGCUAGGGGAAAAGUACUACCAACUUACAAAACAGUAAAUAAAAUAAUUAAAGAAAAUAAGUAAAAUAAAAUAAAGAAAUUGCAUCAAUCUACUUUCCUCAUCUUUUUUUUUCUCAUCUUUAAAAUAAGGGUAAUAUGAAGUACAUUAAAACAUGCUAUUCAAGGACACGGUAUUAUUAUUUAAUGUAGUAAGAAUGACUAAUCAACUAGGAUGCUCCAGAAAUAGCAUGAGGCAUGAUAUGAAAUUAAAUCCCCUCCCACCUUGUUUUUCUUGAUCUAAUUUCCAACCCAACCACUCUUUACCUUUGAAAUAAGUGCUUUGUUAUAUUCUUACCUAUCAAAGUGCUUACAUCACUUCCCUGUAGACCCAUCUCUUAGAGACUAUGAUAUAGCUGUAAUUAUUGGGUACUUCCUUUCCUCUUUCCCUUAUCUCUACUCCUCCCACCCCCACUAAACUUCCACCACCACCCAUAUAUUCAAUGCAAAGAUAAGGAAAGGAGUGAGUCAUGAAAAGAAAAAGAAAAAAAGGCUUUGAGAAUGAAAGACAGAAGUAAUUCGUUGUUGCUGAACACCUGAGGUUAAUGGACAUCCAUCCUUCUCACAAGUAAGGGAAAACCUAAGUAAAUGACUGUGCUGAUGAGAAAUAUAAAAAAUAAUUUUUUAAGAUUUUAUUUAUUUAUUCAUGAGAGACACAGAGAGAGAGCCAGAAACAUAGGCAAAAGAAGAAGCAGGCUCCCUGAGGUGAGCCUGAUGCAGGACUCAAUCCCAGGACCCCAGGAUCAUGCCCUGGGCCAAAGGCAGAUGCUCAACCACUGAGCCAUCCAGGCUUCCCUACAAAAAUAAUUUAAAAUAGUACCCAUCCCUUAAAAGCUUACGAUCUAUUAAUUGAAAUAAAACAAGAAUACAAG
rnacentral:lncRNA from 1 species